rnacentral:tRNA from 16 species
GGGGGUGAACUGGCUUCGACGGGGUGUGGAACGGUUAGCAAGGCGACUCGGAAUGGUACCUACGUACAGGACCAAACUUUACAAUUGCCAAUGACGAGCACUACGCUCCGGCUUUUGCAGCUGCAUAAAGUAGUUGUACAAAGCGGGGUCUGAACCCGGGCCCGGCAACAGAAGCUUUUAGCGGGGUUAAGCCGGAACUGUGUAGGCCGGUGUAAAUCCAGGGACACCCAGUUCUCCGAGGUAACGGGGGCUAUGUGGUCAGCCAGCCUGAGACGCCACAAAGCAGUAGGGUUGGCAAAAUGGUCGUGAUUCCUUCUAGCUUAAUACAUAUUUCGGACCGGGGUUCGACUCCCCGCACCUCCACCA